rnacentral:rRNA from 1 species
AAUCAACGCUGGCGGCGUGCCUAACACAUGCAAGUCGAACGCGAAAAGGGGCAACCCUGAGUAGAGUGGCGUCCGGGUGAGUAACACGUGGGUGACCUGCCCUUAGCUCUGGGAUAAGCCUGGGAAACUGGGUCUAAUACCGGAUAUGACCUCAUGACUCAUGUUGUGGGGUGGAAAGCCUUGUGCGGCUAGGGAUGGGCCCGCGGUCUAUCAGCUUGUUGGUGGGGUAAUUGCCUACCAAGGCGACGACGGGUAGCCGGCCUGAGAGGGCGACCGGCCACACUGGGACUGAGACACGGCCCAGACUCCUACGGGAGGCAGCAGUGGGGAAUCUUGCGCAAUGGGCGAAAGCCUGACGCAGCGACGCCGCGUGAGGGAUGACGGCCUGG